rnacentral:rRNA from 1 species
UACGUAGGGUGCGAGCGUUGUCCGGAAUUACUGGGCGUAAAGAGCUCGUAGGUGGUUUGUCGCGUUGUUCGUGAAAACCGGGGGCUUAACCCUCGGCGUGCGGGCGAUACGGGCAGACUGGAGUACUGCAGGGGAGACUGGAAUUCCUGGUGUAGCGGUGGAAUGCGCAGAUAUCAGGAGGAACACCGGUGGCGAAGGCGGGUCUCUGGGCCGUUGCUGACACUGAGGCGCGACAGCGUGGGGAGCAAACAGG